rnacentral:rRNA from 1 species
AAAAUCCUGUGUUUCGCUUUAAGUCCGCCGUGUACGGUGCUCGCUCUCAAAGUCACGCUCCUCGGAAUUGGAGCGUAAAUCAGGUGGUAGAUUUCAUCUAAAGCCAAAUACAGACCUGAGGCCGAUAGUNANCAAGUACCNUGAGGGAAAGAUGAAAAGGACUUUGGAAAGA